GGCAAAGGCUCACCCAUUGAUCAGCUCCAGGAUGAUCAAAGACAGUCUGGAGUUACCUUCAAACGCCAGAGACCUGCUCCCCCUGCAGUGCUGUGCUGUCAGAUUGUCCACGGGUACAGACAGCAGCCAAACAAAACAGAGAGAGGAAAGAAAUGGGGAAAAGCCAUGAGAUUGGAAAACUGUGGUAGUAACUGACCCCUGGAUCCACAUGACAACUUCACACCAACUAAACCCACGAGACAAAUACAUGUAUAAAUAAGUACACUUAAUACUUUAUGUUAGUCCACAUACAAUUCUGUGGACGUUAUGUUAAAUCUCAGCAGCCGUGGGUCAAACUGUUGUAAUUUUAGUGUCAAAUUAUUUCCAAGACACGUGUUCCUAUAGGCUCCAACUGGAAAAAAAUGCUAGAAACUGAAGUGUCACCACGGUAAGAG